rnacentral:miRNA from 1 species
AUGAAUUACUCCACUUAAAUCACCCAUCCAAACACACUACUAUAGUGUAUUUGGAUGGAGAAUUUAAAUGGCGUAAUUCAUUU